rnacentral:rRNA from 1 species
AGAGUUUGAUCCUGGCUCAGGAUGAACGCUAGCUACAGGCUUAACACAUGCAAGUCGAGGGGCAGCAUGGUCUUAGCUUGUUAAGACUGAUGGCGACCGGCGCACGGGUGAGUAACACGUAUCCAACCUGCCUUAUACUCCCGGACAGCCUUCUGAAAGGAAGAUUAAUACGGGAUGGUAUCACGGGCCAGCAUUUUCUCGUGAUUAAAGAACUUCGGUAUAAGAUGGGGAUGCGUUCCAUUAGAUAGUAGGCGGGGUAACGGCCCACCUAGUCUACGAUGGAUAGGGGUUCUGAGAGGAAGGUCCCCCACAUUGGAACUGAGACACGGACCAGACUCCUACGGGAGGCAGCAGUGAGGAAUAUUGGUCAAUGGCCGAGAGGCUGAACCAGCCAAGUCGCGUGAGGGAAGACGGCCCUACGGGUUGUAAACCUCUUUUGUCGGGGAGCAAAGAGAGCCACGUGUGGCUCAUUGAGAGUACCCGAAGAAAAAGCAUCGGCUAACUCCGUGCCAGCAGCCGCGGUAAUACGGAGGAUGCGAGCGUUAUCCGGAUUUAUUGGGUUUAAAGGGUGCGCAGGCGGAGGUGCAAGUCAGCGGUCAAAUUGCGGGGCUCAACCCCGUACUGCCGUUGAAACUGCAUCCCUUGAGUGCGCGAGAAGUAUGCGGAAUGCGUGGUGUAGCGGUGAAAUGCAUAGAUAUCACGCAGAACUCCGAUUGCGAAGGCAGCAUACCGGCGCGCAACUGACGCUCAUGCACGAAAGCGUGGGUAUCGAACAGGAUUAGAUACCCUGGUAGUCCACGCAGUAAACGAUGAACACUAACUGUUCGGCCAAAGUGAUGGCUGAGUGGUACAGCGAAAGCGUUAAGUGUUCCACCUGGGGAGUACGCCGGCAACGGUGAAACUCAAAGGAAUUGACGGGGGCCCGCACAAGCGGAGGAACAUGUGGUUUAAUUCGAUGAUACGCGAGGAACCUUACCCGGGCUCAAACGACACAGGCAUACUUUUGAAAGGAGGUAGCCCUUCGGGGUCUGUGUCGAGGUGCUGCAUGGUUGUCGUCAGCUCGUGCCGUGAGGUGUCGGCUUAAGUGCCAUAACGAGCGCAACCCCUAUCGCCAGUUGCCAUCAAGUAAAGUUGGGGACUCUGGCGAGACUGCCGGCGCAAGCUGUGAGGAAGGCGGGGAUGACGUCAAAUCAGCACGGCCCUUACGUCCGGGGCGACACACGUGUUACAAUGGCAGGUACAGAGAGAAGCCAGGUGGCGACACCGCGCGGAACUCGAAAGCCUGUCUCAGUUCGGAUCGGAGUCUGCAACCCGACUCCGUGAAGCUGGAUUCGCUAGUAAUCGCGCAUCAGCCAUGGCGCGGUGAAUACGUUCCCGGGCCUUGCACACACCGCCCGUCA